rnacentral:rRNA from 1 species
AGCAGCCGCGAUAAUUCCAGCUCCAAUAGCGUAUAUUAAAGUUGUUGCAGUUAAAAAGCUCGUAGUUGAAUUUCGGGGUCAGUAGGUCGGUCGUGCCACAGGUAUGUACUGGUCUCACUGAUUCCUCCUUCCUGAUGAACCGUAAUGCCAUUAAUUUGGUGUUGCGGGGAAACUGGACUGUUACUUUGAAAAAUUAGAGUGUUUAAAGCAGGCUAACGCUUGAAUACAUUAGCAUGGAAUAAUGAAAUAGGACGUUCGAUCCUAUUUUGUUGGUUUCUAGGAUUGACGUAAUGAUAAAUAGGGAUAGUUGGGGGCAUUAGUAUUCAAUUGUCAGAGGUGAAAUUCUUGGAUUUAUUGAAGACUAACUACUGCGAAAGCAUUUGCCAAGGAUGUUUUCAUUAAUCAAGAACGAAAGUUAGGGGAUCGAAGACGAUCAGAUACCGUCGUAGU